rnacentral:rRNA from 1 species
UGGGGAAUAUUGGACAAUGGGGGCGACCCUGAUCCAGCAAUGCCGCGUGUGUGAAGAAGGCCUUCGGGUUGUAAAGCACUUUCGAUGGGGAAAAACAAGCCAGACCUAACACGUCUGGCCCUGAUGGUACCCAGAGAAGAAGCACCGGCUAACUCUGUGCCAGCAGCCGCGGUAAUACAGAGGGUGCAAGCGUUAAUCGGAAUUACUGGGCGUAAAGGGUGCGUAGGUGGUUUGUUAAGUCAGGUGUGAAAUCCCUGGGCUCAACCUGGGAACUGCAUUUGAUACUGGCAGACUCGAGUCUGGUAGAGGGUAGUGGAAUUCCGCAUGUAGCGGUGAAAUGCGUAGAUAUGCGGAGGAACAUCAGUGGCGAAGGCGGCUACCUGGACCAAGACUGACACUGAGGCACGAAAGCGUGGGGAUCAAACAGGAUUAGAUACCCUGGUAGUCCACGCCCUAAACGAUGGGUACUAGACGUUGGGAGGUUUAUCCUCUUGGUGUCGCAGCUAACGCAAUAAGUACCCCGCCUGGGGAGUACGGUCGCAAGAUUA